AUUUUCUUCUGUUUAAGCCAUUCUGUUGUUGAUUUACUUCUAUGCUUUGGGUCAUUGUCCUGUUGCAACACCCAUCUUCUGUUGAGCUUCAGCUGGUAGACAGAUGGCCUUAAGUUCUCCUGCAAAAUGUCUUGAUAAACUUGGGAAUUCAUUUUUCCUUCAAUGAUAGCAAUUCGUCCAGGCCCUGACGCAGCAAAGCAGCCCCAAACCAUGAUGCCCCCAACACCAUACUUCACAGUUGGGAUGAGGUUUUGAUGUUGGUGUGCUGUGCCUUUUUU